GGCUUCUUGAAAAAAAAAAAAAAGAGAGAG
rnacentral:piRNA from 1 species